GAUGAACGCUAGCGAUAGGCUUAACACAUGCAAGUCGAGGGGCAGCACAAGGUAGCUUGCUAUCUGGGUGGCGACCGGCGCACGGGUGCGUAACGCGUAUGCAACUUGCCCUAUACAGGAGGAUAACCCGUCGAAAGACGGACUAAUACUGCGUAUGCUCACAACUUGGCAUCAAGUGGUGAGGAAAGAAAUUCGGUAUAGGAUAGGCAUGCGUCCCAUUAGCUUGUUGGUGAGGUAACGGCUCACCAAGGCAACGAUGGGUAGGGGAACUGAGAGGUUUAUCCCCCACACUGGUACUGGGACACGGACCAGACUCCUACGGGAGGCAGCAGUGAGGAAUAUUGGUCAAUGGGCGCGAGCCUGAACCAGCCAAGUCGCGUGAAGGAUGACUGUCUUAUGGAUUGUAAACUUCUUUUAGACGGGAAUAACAAGAGUCACGUGUGACUCCCUGCAUGUACCGUAUGAAUAAGCAUCGGCUAACUCCGUG
rnacentral:rRNA from 1 species